rnacentral:rRNA from 1 species
AACGUAGGUGGCGAGCGUUAUCCGGAUUUACUGGGCGUAAAGGGUGUGCAGGCGGGCUGUUAAGUGGUGUAUGAAAUAUCCCGGCUCAACCGGGAGGGUGCACUUUAGACUGAUGAGCUUGAGGUCGGUAGAGGGGGGUGGAAUUGCUGGUGUAGCGGUGAAAUUCGUAGAGAUCAGAAGGAACACCCGUGGCGAAGGCGGCCCCCUGGGCCGUACCUGACGCUGAGGCGCGAAGGCUAGGGGAGCGAACGGG